rnacentral:rRNA from 1 species
UACGUAGGGGGCAAGCGUUGUCCGGAUUCAUUGGGCGUAAAGAGCGUGUAGGCGGCCAGGUAGGUCGGUUGUGAAAACUGGAGGCUCAACCUUCAGAGGUCGACCGAAACCAUCUGGCUAGAGUCCGGGAGAGGAGAGUGGAAUUCCUGGUGUAGCGGUGAAAUGCGCAGAUAUCAGGAAGAACACCCGUGGCGAAGGCGGGUUGCUGGGCCGACACUGACGCUGAGGCGCGAAAGCCAGGGGAGCGAACGGG